GCAUCCAGAGCCCUGGCCAGGCUGGAGGCUGCCCUCUGUUCACCCUUGCUCUUGGUUUGAAUCUGGUUUCUACUUGUGCUUCUGCUGUUCAAGUGAAGCCUUGUGAUGGUAAACUUUCAAUCGAAAAAAAAAUUUAAAAAGAGUUGCUCAGCACAACUGGAGCUAGAAGACAACAUGUGCUUUCACCCUGCUUCAAACAGUGCCUUUCCUAAAGAGAAGCUCCUUCAGAAGAUCAUGUGGGGAUAGGAACCUCUUAUGAGGAAGAUUACAAGGAGGUAGAGCCAUGGCUUCCUAAAACUACCUGGAUGGAAGGAGGAGCAGAAAAACACCUUGCAUUUCAGUGGCAAUACUUUAUACAGCUGAACAUCCCAAAGUUCUUUACGUUUAGUUACACCCAUAGCAAAGAGACUGUAAGACAAAUGCGGCCUUUGGGAUCUCCAGAAAAGGGAAGGAAGGCAAGUCUUUCACAAUCAGACCAUAGUGCACUCACAUGUAGCACUCUUCUUGCAAAUGAGCACCACUGCAAAUUUGACAUGUGAUACACAGGAGACAACUGUAAGAAAAUGGAAAUAAGAAUGGAAAAACCCCACAUUUCUUGUUUUUCCAAAUUAAG